CAUGGAACGAAGGUAAGAGGGGAAGAUAGCACUUGAAUAACCAGUGGUGGAUGGAUGUUUAAAAACAAGAAAUCAGAUACGUACAUCAAGCUUUUUAAAAAAUAAUACUAAUAAUAAUCCAGUACGUAUGUGGCUCAGGAAGGAUGGCAUGCUUUCACUAUUCAAAUAUCUCUGCCUCCACUCCUUCAAGGAGGAGUGAAGCAGCGAUUUUGUCCACUUCCCCCUCAUGGGCCACUAAAAUAUAUGUGAAGGUUAGCAAGUUGCUUAACCCAUACCAGCUGGGAUGAAUUACUUCUGUACAACCUCAAUAUGCCGUCAUUAAAAGAGCAAUUGUGUUUUCAGCGUCUCUGGUGUUUAAUAUUAGGGGACCAAUUACUGCCUCUCUUUCGGAAACUCCUGAACCUGCGUGGUUUUUUAAAAGAAGGUUAACAGGCAAAAAUAUUCUAGUCACCGUUUUAAAUUUCAGAAGGCACGUAUCAGCAAAAUGCAUCUGUUUAUUUAGCAAACCUUAAGCUUUAACUGUGUAAUCAGAAAUUCAAAUACAGAAAUACGGCUACCUACACAUCUCAAUCUUGUCACUAAGUACAAUAAAUGACUUUGGGUUACAAGAUAUAUGUUGCUUUUGCAAGAGAUUUGAAGGAGAGGGGAUCAUUUGUCUCAGUGUCUUGCUUCUGAAGGUCCUGGGGUUUAUGAGACCCUAAAAAUCAUCCUGUUCCAAGAAUUUCUAAGCAAUACACUAAAAUGAACACAGAAUUUUGUCUCCAACACCAUCAGAUAGUCCCAAUGGCAAUUAUGAGGUGAUAAUAGCUGUGAGCAGGGAUAGGCAAUCUGGGCAGUGCACAUUGUGGGGUGUGAAACACAGAGCAGUCAAAUACAACAUUCCUAGAGUGGACAUAAAAAGGGGGUGUCUGGACCAGCCAGUUGGAACUUCCUGUUUCCUCCUGGGCUGGGACAAACUUCCUCUACAUGUGACCAGAGGUGGGUGUCACCCCACCUGGGCAGGUAACAAAAUAGCACAGGGGAGACAGCCAUCUCUCUCUCUCGGACUCAAUUCCUCGUAGAAGCAACAUCUCCUUAGCCUGAGAUGCUCUCUUGGCUUCCAGCCAAGAGAGGACAAAGGAACUAUCACCUUAUGGGAUAGAUUCCAGGUGUAUAUAUCUUGUAACUUAAGUCUGCCUUCUGGGACCCAUCUGUGAACAGAAUGUAUGUGAGUAAACUAUUUUAUAGAUUUAUAUAAGGCAGUGUUGUGUCUAUUCAUUUAAGAGGGAAUAAAGGGGAUUUACCAGGAAACUUAUUUUAGAGGCUUAUGCAAGCCUGGCAAAGACGUUAUCCGCUGUGAAAGUUUAAAAAGGGGAAUGUUACUCUGCUAAAUUGUAGAACACAAGUUGGGAAGGAUAUAAUUAAACAAUAUAUCGUCUCCUGCCUCCCUGAACAUUCCCACACACAUCAAUGGAAGGUCCUUAAAUCUGGAACUCUACGAUUACUGAACCAGAAGUGGUUGGUUUGGCAGCAUAGCUGGAAUACUGUUGCUUUCCCAGCUUCCAAACACAGAGUGCCACUAGCACUUACCGGAGGAAGAAGGGUGUGGUAUGGGGAACUCUGAGCUGUGCAGGCACAUAACUGCAAGAGUGGAAGAUUGGCUCAACCAUACCACAAUGCACCAAGUUCCUGUGCCUUCCUCCUCCAGUAACCACCAGUGCAAUGGCAUGUUGUGUUUGAAACCCAGGACAGCAGCAGUUCCCCUCCUGUACCACUACACCAGCUGCUACUGCACCAACCAGAGAUUAAUAGAUCCUGAUGACAGGAAUGGACUUGGAGCAAAAGGCCAGAGGCAGAACACAAGAUCCUCCUAAGGGUUUGGGCAUCAUGCUGAUUACAGGAAGAGGCAGAAAUGUGGGGUGGCGAAGUUCCAGGUUACUGAGAACUCUUAAGGGAUUUUUUUCUCCAAAGCACCUAAGGGUGUGGUAGGGAAGAGCUCAAUGGUAUCAAAUGAUAUUAAAGGGAAACCAGCAAAACAUGAGAAGAGAAGACUCCUUGGGAAAGACCCUGAUGUUGGGAAAGAUGGAGGGCACAAGGAGAAGGGGACGACAGAGGACGAGAUGGUUGGACAGUGUUCUCGAAGCUACCAGCCUGAGUUUGACCAAACUGUGGGAGGCAGUGGAAGACAGGAGUGCCUGGCAUGCUCUGGUCCAUGGGGUCACGAAGAGUCAGACACGACUAGACAGCUAAACAACAACAACAGCAAAAAGAAUUGUCUGAACCCCCCCUAAGUUUUCCUCAGUCCCUUGUAAAGCCUUAGGAAGGCACUGAAACAAAAACAACAGUUUAGCAUUUUUCAAUAGUUUCGAAACUAUAUGCACCGCAUUUAUGAGCUGCAUUGUGCAAACUUCAUCUUUUAUUUUUAAGCUACAUUGAAUGCAUUUGCAUUACUCAGUAUAAAACCGUCUGGUGAUUAAUGCACUGUCAGCAGGGGAAACCGUUAAGCAUACUUUAAUAUGCCCAAUUUGCACAGGAAUCACUAGACCUAAUGGUCAGUCAUUUCAGAAGAUGGUUGUACAGAAACAAUAAAAGAUUGUGCUCAGUGAGUGUGGUAUAAGCAGGAACAAAUGAAUAUUGUAAAUACCACAGUGACAGCUUGUAGGGUUAGGUGUCUAAAACAUGGGAUGUAGAUGCUGGAAAGGUAUGUUGUUGCUCAAAACCCUGCUUGGUCAUGAAGCUCUAAGAAUAUACAGAUUAUAACAUGCCCUAAGCCUUUACGAGAGGUGAGGAAAAUCUAAUUAAAUGGGAUUCACAGUUGUAGGCUUGGUUCAGGCAGGGUUGGAGCACUGAAUAUCUGCAAUCCCUUUCUGCAGGAGGCUACCACUAGCUUUAGUAAGUAGUGUCAUCAAGCAACACUGAACCAGGAGUACUUUUUACCCUGAUUGGAGAGUCUGGUAAGAUCUUGGUUCCUGUAGAGUAUUUGUGCGGUGCUCAGUUUGUUUGUGAAAUUGGAAACAUUUUGCGAUGUAUGCUUCACAUGAUUCCAAUUACACUCUGGUCCAUCAAGGAGUCCCCCAGGAUACUGUUGGGCUCAUGAUUUCAAGGAUUCUUUCUGCUUCCUGUAGGCACUUCAGUCUGAGCCAUCAAAGCAGUGCAGCUUUUAUUUGAGGACAGAGGAGCACAACAGUUAUAGCAGUUUGAUUUGAUAAAUGCUUAGCUUCUCUAGUUCUCGACAAAGUAGUUGUUAACGUUUGCCAGUUAAGGCACAAAAUCCAUUUUCCAGACCCAGUAGAUUGAUUUUUCUCCAUUGGUGUUAUUUUAUGGAGUUCUUGCGACACACGACAACAAAGCGAGCUUCACUCCAGUAAAUAUGCAAACUGAAUUUAGCGGGUGGAGGGAGAGGAGAAAGAAAAUUACAAUUUGGCUAACCAGAAUCAGCAUAAAGAAUCAACCAAACCUCUCCACACAUGCACAUGUGUACACACAGGCAUAUCCUGUGAAUAUGAGCUAGUCAGACAUGUGCGAACCAUUUUGUGUACGUGCCUUGACAGGGAAUGACUAGUCCCUUCAGUUAAUUUGCACACAUGGAACUGUAAUGCAUAGCAAUCCUACAGGUAUGCAACAUAUACAUUUCUGCACAUAUACAUUUCUGUGUCAGCUUGUAAUUACUCUUGAUAAACCAAUUACCUACAGCCAAGUUAGAGAUUGCAUGUUAGCUGCACAGUACAUGACUCAAAAUGAGUUACAAACCUGCUGCUCAAACCUUUCCAGAUCCAACAGUGACUGGAAACCUCCACUUGGUUACCAUAGACAACAAAAAUAAAAUAUUCUCCCCACACUCCUAGAAAUCCCACCAUAUACUUCAAAAUGGGAGCCUUCUAGGAAAAUUGAUGAGAGUUUCAGGAAAGAUGACAAUUCUUAUUAUCUGAGCACAGAAAACAACCUUCAGUACAGCACAGUAUCUGCACCAAAACUUCCAAUUUGACACAGGAGACUUUAUUGGUAGACCCUGUAAAAUUUACUUAGUUGCUAUAUUUAGAUACCAUCUUUCUGUCAAUGGGCUCAGGUGGAGUCCAAAAGAAAAUGAUGGUUUAAAAUACAACAAAUAAUGCCACAAAAAGGAAAGGGGAAGGGAAUGGAAGAAGAAAAAUAAUAUGCAGGUUCCACCUCUUAAAUACAGGUUAUAUCAUGCCAGGGGGAAUUGCCAGUAGGGGAGAAGCCAAAAGACAGUUGAUCCAAACCAGGCCAAUGCAGAAGAACAAAUGGAUCACAUCUCUGCGCCUAUCUUUCCAAUUUGGUAUUUCAGCGCAGGGCAGGAAAAUGACAGAUUCUCUCUUCAAGUUGUCCACUAAACAUAGGAAGCUGCCUUAUACUGAGCCAGACCACAUACCUCAGCAUUGCCUAAGCUGAAUGAAAGUGGCUCUCCCACACCCACUUGCAGAUGCCAGGGAUCACUACUGAGUGAUAGGCAUUCUUCCAAACAAGGUUGUCCUGAAUAGGCAUAAGAACAUUUCUUGUUUUGCAUACAAAGUCUUGGAUCCUGCCAAUUCAAAUGUCCCCUGCCCCAUUGCAACCGAGAAAAUUAAGGUAGUGUUUUUUAUCAAGCAGAAAUGGAGAAAAAGUCAGUGUCUAUUCCUCAAACCUGUUCUCAAUUCUUCGUCCCCAGAUUUCCCAAAUCUAAGCUUCUUCUGAGUUUUGACCAGAGUAAAGUGUGCUGUGGUGGUUAGAGUGUCAGACUAGGCUAGCCAAAAUCCUCAUUUGGCUAUUGAAAUUACUGUGUGACUUUGGGCCAGUCAUUAUCUCUCAUUUUAACCCCUCACUGGAUUUCUCUAAGAAUAAAAUGGAAUAAGGGAGAAUGGUUUAUGCCACCUUAUGCGCCUUAAAGGAAAAGUGGAGUAUAAAAGGAUAUAAACAUUACAAAAUAAAUAUAACUAAUACAGAAUAUAAAUAUAUAUGUAAUACAAAAAAAAAUAUUGGGGCACAUGCAGUAGCCAUAGACAAAUAAAGGUGUAUUUUUGGCUAUAUCUUCAUAAAAUGUCAUUUUAGAAGCAUUGUUACUUGCUCCAAAACUUUAGCAAUGGUGUGAGCGAAACAAACUAAACAGAUAUGAAAUAGUUGUUUUUACUUAUAAAGGAGAAUGAGGACAAAUUAUUGAUAUGUCUGAAUUCUAGCCUUCUUACACAAAAGCAAUACAAAAAGCAUGGCACAUCUCUAAAGCUUUCCUAUGGGCAGUACGUAAUGGCGAAGGGAGAAAAACUUAUUUUAGGGAGGAAAAUCCCUCCUUUCAUGUUUAAGAACUGGCAUGUCCCCACCUUUCCAAAACCUGAGGAAAUCAUUCAUGGAGUCAGUUUUAUCAAAAACUCACAGGGAGGUUAAACAGUGGGUGGCAUUUUCUUUCACCAAUUCCAAACAUUUAACUUCUCUCAUACGAAUAGGUUCAAAACUGCUGAACGUAGUUAAUUAUUUUAUUUUUCUGAAGCUAUGCCUUACUAAUUCACUAUUCACAAAGUUUACACUAUCAAAAGAAUAUAGCUUAAUCAGCAUUAUGUGCCUACUAAACAGACAUUUGUACUUUUAAUCCAUUUUAAUCUCAACUAAAAAGGUAGGGGAAUUUCCAAACAUUUAUAUUAAACACAUUGCUAAUUAAAAGGAUAUUUUUCCACUCUUCUGAUCAGCCUAAUGUAAAAUGCCAAACCACUUCUUAAAGAGCAAUCAGUUUAAAAUGAACAAGUCAGCUUUAUUUCAAACUUUACCUUACAGAUAUAGUAAGAAGUCUAACAACAUUCACUAAAAGUGGAACAAAAAAAAGUUGUAGAGAAAAAGGGAACUCGGGGGGGGGGAAGCAAUUUUGUUUCUGGAACCUCAUCCUGUACAUUAUCACUGUACUUACUGAACAGAUUUUACACAGUAUUACUGAAUGAAUUGUUUCCCAUUAUACUUUUGCAUGCUCUCUGGCUCCCCCUAUCAAAGAACUGAAGGAGAUCUGUCAUCUUUGAUUUUUUCUGAGCACACUUUCAGAUACUGUACAGUAUAUACCUCAAAUAUUCAACCAUUUCAAAAAACGGCAUGGCUGAUUUUCACAUUGUCUUCAGAAAUUAUCUACCAACUAUAGCAGUGUGUCCAAAAAGCUAAACUGUGAAACAAUAAGCCUCUACUCUGAAUUCACUAGGUGGUCUUAGGCAAGCUACAAUAAUAUUUCAGCCUCAACACCACAUGCACAAUAUGGGGUCAUAACACUGGUCUGCUUUGCAGUGUUGAUACACUAUACUAUGACAUUUUAAGAGAACUAAUAUUAUUUUUGUUGUUAUUUAUUGAAAUGUUUUAAAAAAGGUUUACAAUGAAAGACUCCCCUACUUCCCACCAAGAUAAUGAAUUAAAUGAUUUGAACACUCCAAAUUAUAAGCCACCCUGAGAUCAUAUGAUAAAGAAUGGGAUAAAUGUUUUCUAAGUAAAUAAUACAACUGCCACCUGUUAUUAUUAAAUUCCAAAUCUUAAAUGACUUAACACUGGUUUUAAAAAAAUAUUUUGAGGCUUUGAUUAGUAUAUGAAAAAAACUGAGCAUUUAUCUUACCGAAUAUACAAGAUAUAUUUUUCUAUGUACAGAAGAGUUGUAUCUGACUAAACCCUACUCAGAGCAGGCCCAAUAAAACUAAACCUAUUAAUCUGAGUAGGACUAACACUGCCUACAACCCAAUAGACUUAGGUUAGUUAAACCUACUGAUUUCAAGGGUCAGCAAACUUUUUCGGCAGGGGGCCUGUCCACUGUCCCUCAGACCUUGUGGGGGGCCGGACUAUUUUUUUUGGGGGGGGGGGAAAUGAACAAAUUCCUAUGCCCAUCAAAUAACCCAGAGAUGCAUUUUAAAUAAAAGCACACAUUCUACUCAUGUAAAAACAUGCUGAUUCCUGGACCAUCUGCAGGCCAGAUUUAGAAGGCGAUUGGCCCAGAUCCGGCCCCCGGGCCUUAGUUUACCUACCCAUGGUCUACCCCAAGUAUGACUUAGUCAGAUAUAACUUUUUUCCAAAACAAGGAUAGACAUCUUGCAUUAGAUUACAUUGCCAGACUCCCUUCAAUCUAUUGUUCUCCAACAACGUGCAUUAAAAAUGCAGCCUUGAAAACUAAGGCUACCUGGAGAGUGGAAUGAGAAACUCUGAUGAGUCCCAACCCACAAUAUAAAAAAGGAAUAUAAAAGAAGAAGGCGCUAUCAAGUAAUUGGUAUAGAUGGUAAUGUUUUGCCUAGAAAGAGAAGAAUGGAGUGUGCCCCACCCCCUCGGAAGCAGGAACAGAAGGAGAUUAUCAAGUAGCGCUUGCAGAAUGUGGAUCACUCCCUUGUUACUUCUGCAUCUAACUGAGUGACAUGUUACAUGAAAUGCAGGAACAGUGUGUGCCUCUCUUGCUGUUAAAGAAUGUCAUCCUAUCCUUUUCCCUAGGUAGCUUGAUGGCAUGUCCUUCCAGGCGUGAUAGAUCAGUAGCUGCCACAAUCUCGGUCCACAGAGCAGCUCAGGUAUCUCUGAGCCAUCCAGGGAGACCUAUGAAGAAACCUGUAGGCCUCUAAGCAAAACUUCACAUUUUAAAUCAGGAGGAAGUGGAGGGGGUUGAGAAGAAGAGAG